CCGUUUGCUCGUUACCUGUGCCAUUGUAGGUUGGGGAUUAGGGUUCUUUGGAAAGAGAAUGAAGUGCUCAUUAGAGAGUAGAUAUUUCCACGGAUAAAAUUCCCUUCGCUUGAAAUCAUGUGAAAASUUCAUUAUCACUCCUGUGCAAUAUAAGAAGACUAGAGCACUCGUUAAGACAUCAUUUGAAGGUUCAAAGCUUCGAGAGAGCUACAUCCACUUUCAAGUUGAGGACAUCACAUCUGAUUGAGAUAACUAUGAGAUCAAACGAAGUUCUUUGCCUUUUGUUUGUUUUAGGAGUUAUGCUUGUCGCUGUUCAUGGAAAUGCUGACUGCGAUAACAAUUUCAAGCGUUUCUCACCCAAUUGCCGUAGUCUUCGCAAGACCGACUGUGGAYGUCGUUACGGUACUGGUAUUUUGGAAGCUGAAUGUGGCAAAGGAAUAUGCGCCAAGUGCCCUGGACCUUGCGAUGGCUACAAAAACGACCCAAGUUAUUGCAGUCGACUAGGCAAGGCAAAAUGCUAUAACCAAUCAUGGAAAAAGAUGAUGCGAAAUAAUUGCAAGAAGUUAUGCGGCAUUUGUUAAGUGCUGAUGGACAAUCUGACAUAAAGGUGCAUGUCGAAGGCUUGACUCAGCUGGUUCUAAAAGUAAAAAAUAAUAUAUGUUAAAUUGGUUUUCAAUAAACCAGAAAUCAGCAAAAAGUGUGUCUACAUCUA